GCCCAAAUAUAGUUUCCCGAGAUAGUUUUUCCUUUUGUUUCUUAAGCUAUUUUUGGUUUGCUAUCAGCAAUGGCAGUAUUCACACUGCAUAGCAGAAAAUAGAUAAUUAGGAGAAUGAAUCACCAAACCUUUUCACAGCCUGUCAAUAUAAUAUCAAUACUGAUAAUUGCUAUUGUUUAUGUCAUUAACAACCCAUUCAGAUGGGGCUGCUUAACAAAGACACGUUAUCAGGUGUGGUAUGUGGCUAUGACACACUCAUUCUAGAAGGGAUGAAGUCUUCAGAGGGAAAUCUCUCCUUACUCACUUAUCAAGCUGAGCUGUUGAAACCUUGACACUUCCAAUUUGCAGAGAUCAAUGCAAACCUUUCCUUUGGCGUGGAUUCAAGUAUCUUGAAUUUCACUGCGAGCUUUAGGUUUGAAUUAGUCCAAACCCCACAGUGAUACUCAGCCAAAAUUGUUAAUUUCUGCCAAACUCACAGAGCUUUGAAUGGUUUCCAUUUCUUGUUAAAUCAGUGGUGUACAGCUGGCUUAAAAAUUGGUUCAGGUUUGGCAGCAAACUCGCAAAUUAAAUCUGACUCAGUUCUGUACCCACACUAAAUCAUGCCUAGUAAGUGCAAACCCGCACUGGGAGCGCAGGGAAAUUCUGGGAGGAGCAGCCCCAUGGAUGGUGAGAAGAGUACACAGCCACCGCACUGACGAUCCACUGCUGUGACAGCUACUAAGGAUUCAGGGAUCGAGAAAGGAGGACUGUCUGCCUUGGGACAGUGACUGUGGUUCCCACCUCCAUCUGUCUGCUCCACCUCCAUCCUCUCACUGUAUGGGUGAGGAGAGACAUUUCAUGCUGCAGGCUACAAGCUCUGGGAGCCAAACACACAGCUGAGCCAUCCAACAGGAGGGGUGAGAAGCUCCAAGAAAGACACACGGAGCCAGGAGCUACUGUGGCUUUCUCCUUUUGUAAAGCUGCAUCAGUUCUGCAGGCAUCAAGUCAAGUAUCAGAAACAUUAAGUCACCUCUGCUGGAUCUGUUUUUGUUUUUUGUUUUUACCUGAUCAUCCAAUGCAAUUGAUGUCCAAAUGGUGCUUGUCUGACUUUGCAAAGUCCUUUGAAUGGAAAAGGUCUUGGUGAAUGAGUUGGAUUAUGUCUUGGCAACUAAGAGAGAAGGAAUUUCUUCUUUACUACUAAGAUUAAAACUGCAUAAUCCAAACCUCCAGCCCUCUUGGUGAGCAAACUAAGUAACAGACUUUGUUCCCCAAGGGCUUUCCACCAAACUGACUUGCCCUUGGUAUGCUAGGGGCAAGGUUCCCUUGGUCUCCCC
rnacentral:lncRNA from 1 species